rnacentral:rRNA from 1 species
CCUACGGGAGGCAGCAGUGAGGAAUAUUGGUCAAUGGACGAGAGUCUGAACCAGCCAAGUAGCGUGAAGGAUGACUGCCCUAUGGGUUGUAAACUUCUUUUAUAUGGGAAUAAAAUGUUCCACGUGUGGGAUUUUGUAUGUACCAUAUGAAUAAGGAUCGGCUAACUCCGUGCCAGCAGCCGCGGUAAUACGGAGGAUCCGAGCGUUAUCCGGAUUUAUUGGGUUUAAAGGGAGCGUAGGUGGAUUGUUAAGUCAGUUGUGAAAGUUUGCGGCUCAACCGUAAAAGUGCAGUUGAAACUGGCAGUCUUGAGUACAGUAGAGGUGGGCGGAAUUCGUGGUGUAGCGGUGAAAUGCUUAGAUAUCACGAAGAACUCCGAUUGCGAAGGCAGUUCACUGGACUGCAACUGACACUGAGGCUCGAAAGUGUGGGUAUCAAACAGGAGUAGAUACCCCAGUAGUC